GCUAGCGGCAGGCUUAACACAUGCAAGUCGAGGGGUAUGCUUCUUCGGAACUAGAGACCGGCGCACGGGUGCGUAACGCGUAUGCAAUCCACCUUUUACAGAGGGAUAGCCCAGAGAAAUUUGGAUUAAUACCUCAUAGUAUAGCGACAUCGCAUGAUGAUGCUAUUAAAGUCACAACGGUAAAAGAUGAGCAUGCGUCCCAUUAGCUAGUUGGUAAGGUAACGGCUUACCAAGGCUACGAUGGGUAGGGGCCCUGAGAGGGAGAUCCCCCACACUGGUACUGAGACACGGACCAGACUCCUACGGGAGGCAGCAGUGAGGAAUAUUGGACAAUGGGCGCAAGCCUGAUCCAGCCAUGCCGCGUGCAGGAUGACGGUCCUAUGGAUUGUAAACUGCUUUUAUACGAGAAGAAACACUACUUCGUGAAGUAGCUUGACGGUAUCGUAAGAAUAAGGAUCGGCUAACUCCGUGCCAGCAGCCGCGGUAAUACGGAGGAUCCAAGCGUUAUCCGGAAUCAUUGGGUUUAAAGGGUCCGUAGGCGGUUUAAUAAGUCAGUGGUGAAAGCCCAUCGCUCAACGGUGGAACGGCCAUUGAUACUGUUAGACUUGAAUUAUUAGGAAGUAACUAGAAUAUGUAGUGUAGCGGUGAAAUGCUUAGAGAUUACAUGGAAUACCAAUUGCGAAGGCAGGUUACUACUAAUUGA
rnacentral:rRNA from 1 species